rnacentral:lncRNA from 1 species
GGCUCAGUACUUUACAGACGUCACCUCACGUAACCCACGCCACAACCGGGAGAAAGACAUGAUUGGCGUUGUACCCACGAGGAAACAGAGAGGGAAGGGAGCUGUCCAGGACCACGGGAACUUUUCAAAAGGGAUUUCAACCUCUGACCACCUGGAGACAGGCGACUGGCGCUCAUUGUAAAUGCACCGACAUGACAGGGAACAGCUGCUGGGGAGGUGGAGACGGGUGCCGGGAGAGACAGGAAACCCCAGAGGCUUGGAAAUCCAGGAGCCACAGGAAGCAGUGAGCUUUCUGCGGAGCCGGAUCCGGUGGAGCCAAUUCACCAGCAGGUCCCGGCAGCAACUCUUCUACAACAGAUUCCUGCCCGUCCCUGUGCCCCAUCGCCCCCCUGCCGUCAAUCUCCACCUCAAGGGAGCCAGACCAAGCCUUUCUGUGUGUAGCGCACAUCUCUCCUGCGUAGAGCUCACCUAGUGGCUUCCAUAGCUUUUUUUUUUUUUUUUUUGGAGACAGGGUCUUGCCCUGUCACCCAGGCUGGGGUACGGUGGCAUGAUCAUGGCUCACUGCAGCUCCCUCCUGGGCUCAAGUGAUC